UAACUACUCCCUCCGUUCGGAAUUACUUGUCGCGAAAAUGGAUGUAUCUAGAUGUAUUUUAGUUCUAGAUACAUUCAUUUCCGAGACAAGUAAUUCCGAACGAAGGGAGUACUAG
rnacentral:pre_miRNA from 1 species